ACAUAUGAAAGAAAUAACAUUAUCAUCAUCAUGAAAUCAUAUAGACUUUAUAACAUAACACUUACAACACAUUUGCAUUUCAAUCAUUAAACAACAUAUUUUCCUCAUUUACCAGCCUACUAGUAUCCAUGGGGAUCCAUAGGGGGUUCUCGCUACCCGUGAACCAUUAACAUUUCAACCUGAUUCCAGGGUCGUUCCCAUACCCCGUCCGGUAUGGGCGCCUAAACCAUGAACCUCAAUACCCCGUCUGGUAUGAGGGUAAAACGGGCUGUCCCCAUACCCCGUCCGGUAUGAGAGACCACGUUCCCGGUAGGGUUCCCUACGGACCCGGUCCGUCCACCAUCUCCCAGAAUAUCUAGUCAGGCUGUCCACAUUAUCCACUUAUCAAUUCACAUAACCUUUUUGCCUUUUUCCUUAAUCUCAUUCAUCCAAUCAUACAAAAUAUGUAAACCAGUAAUUGACACCAAAUAAGACAAUACAGUACUGGGUUCACCAUAAUACAAAUAAUAAUAAAAGAAACCAUAGUUCAUGCAUACGAGACCAUAACAUAAUUACAUCAAACAUCAUGCUGCAUUUAAUACUGGAAAUUAAAUCAAACAAUAACAGACCAACACUGUAUCAGACUCGGGCUCCAUUGGCAACCUUAAUCAAUUAUACAUUUAUAAAGUCACACAGUACAGUUUAAUUAUUUAUUUAGCUUUAAUACCGUGAUAGGAAAUAGGGUGAGGGGUCCUUACUUGUUUUGGGGUCUGAAUUCGACUCUACAGUGUGCCUACAGGCUAUCCCUAAUUUCCCUGAAUUUUUUUCAGAAAACUGAAAUGCACUACCGGUACCUGCACGUAUCCCAAAAAAAUCCCAAAUCAGACCUAGGCCCCUUUCAGCCAAUAUCGGAAUUCCGGCACGGCGGCUCCGCCGUGCUCCGGCGACGGCACCGCCGCAAACGGCAACGAUUUGCCUCGGGU
rnacentral:lncRNA from 1 species